rnacentral:rRNA from 1 species
GAUGAACGCUGGCGGCGUGCCUAACACAUGCAAGUCGAGCGAUCUUCUUCGGAAGAGAGCGGCGGACGGGUGAGUAACGCGUGGGUAACCUGCCCUAUACACACGGAUAACAUACCGAAAGGUAUGCUAAUACGAGAUGAUAUAAGAAAUUCGCAUGUUUUUCUUAUCAAAGCUUUUGCGGUAUAGGAUGGACCCGCGUCUGAUUAGCUAGUUGGUAAGGUAAUGGCUUACCAAGGCGACGAUCAGUAGCCGACCUGAGAGGGUGAUCGGCCACAUUGGAACUGAGACACGGUCCAAACUCCUACGGGAGGCAGCAGUGGGGAAUAUUGCACAAUGGGCGAAAGCCUGAUGCAGCAACGCCGCGUGAGUGAUGAAGGCCUUCGGGUCGUAAAACUCUGUCCUCAAGGAAGAUAAUGACGGUACUUGAGGAGGAAGCCCCGGCUAACUACGUGCCAGCAGCCGCCGUAACAC